AUUGAACGCUGGCGGCAGGCCUAACACAUGCAAGUCGAGCGGCAGCGGGAAAGUAGCUUGCUACUUUUACCGGCGAGCGGCGGACGGGUGAGUAAUGCCUGGGAAAUUGCCCAGUCGAGGGGGAUAACAGUUGGAAACGACUGCUAAUACCGCAUACGCCCUACGGGGGAAAGCAGGGGACCUUCGGGCCUUGCGCGAUUGGAUAUGCCCAGGUGGGAUUAGCUAGUUGGUGAGGUAAUGGCUCACCAAGGCGACGAUCCCUAGCUGGUCUGAGAGGAUGAUCAGCCACACUGGAACUGAGACACGGUCCAGACUCCUACGGGAGGCAGCAGUGGGGAAUAUUGCACAAUGGGGGAAACCCUGAUGCAGCCAUGCCGCGUGUGUGAAGAAGGCCUUCGGGUUGUAAAGCACUUUCAGCGAGGAGGAAAGGUCAGUAGCUAAUAUCUGCUGGCUGUGACGUUACUCGCAGAAGAAGCACCGGCUAACUCCGUGCCAGCCGCCGCUGUAACAC
rnacentral:rRNA from 1 species